AGUCUUCUAUGCUUCCAAGUCGUUUUCAAUGUUGGGACUUUCGAAUAAACGAUUGGCUCCGUUAAACUUGAUUUAGAGUAUUUGAAGUACCUAGAAAAUAAAUUUUGUGAUUUUUCGAUAUCAUUUGCCUAGUGAUCGAAGGGUCUCAAAAUCAAUAAUUUUAAUGGCCGUGGUGAGCCGUUUGCAUUUUUAACGAUGUAGAAACAUCCAAAUCAAGUGAAAUUUUGAUAGAAAAUUUUUUAUACUAUAUAAAACAAGGUCAAUAUUUUUUAUCUAAAAUUUUAAUGUCAUAUCAUCAUAUUAUGUAAGAUUUUUAUUUUCAGCCGUU
rnacentral:lncRNA from 1 species